UGUCAGCAGUACUACAGCUCCCCCAGCCCUUUGCCACACCUUUUGCCAACCAGGAAGGAGAAGCCAAACCCCAGGGCCUGACUGAUGGUUGUCACUUCCCAGGUUCUCAGGAGACACUGUGGUCUGCAGCAGUCAGAGAUUUAUAUGGAAUUAACAAGGCCGGAGUUGAUGGUAAAUGACAGCUGCUGACUCUCACUUGGGAUCCACCUUAGCAGGAUAAAGAUCUUUAAAAGGCGAUGACUUUGCCUGGCCUGUGCUGCUUCAUCUGCGAAGUUAGAAUCAUCAAGAGAAGAAGCCCCAAGCUAUUGAUUUGUGAUCCCUCAUAUAAACACACACACCUACUCUGUUUGGCUUAGUGUCACUCUUGCUUUGGCCUUUUAAAAUGUUAUUUCUGGCCAGCUCGUAUGGGUUGCAGGCAAACAUUAAAAACAAAGGUAUAAUAAACUUAUGGCCACAUCAGAAAAAUUCUUUUUUACCCUUUACAUUUCACUGCUCAACAAAAGGAAGAUGGAUAAUUACAUACCGUUUGAUUAAAAACCCAUCUGGACAAUUAUUAAAACACAGCUUCUUUUUCCUCCACAACCUUGCUAUUUCUUGUCACUUAGCAGAGGCUUGACUGUGUCAAAUCAAUGUCAAAUUUAAAUGUUAAUAGAAUCCUAAAUUAUUCACCAUCUAGUUUAGCCCAUUUGACCCAGUCCCUGCUCGAAAUACCUCUCCCAUAUAAAUAUAUGAUGGAGAAUUAUGGAUCUGGCCAAGUCCAAGGGAUCUCAAGGUGGGGAAAUAGGAAUUAUUAUUGUUGUUGUGUUUUUUGAUUUUUUACUAUCACUAUUAAGAUUUUUCACAUCUUUAGUUUUACUUUUUUUGUAAUUAAGCUGACAGAAAUUAUUAGUUAUACUAUGAGAUAACUCAGAACAUUUAUUAGUCUAUAUUAAACACUUUACAUAUAUUAUUUCAUAUAUAUUGAAGAUUUGGAAAUUUCCAGUUGUUCAGCUACUCCCUGCCAAUUCCCAGAUACCAUUUGCCUGUACUGAAAAUCUACUUGACCCAUAAUAUUUCAAGAUUUCAUGGUUUUAGGCUGGAAAUUAGCCUGGCACUUACAGUGAACCUCUGCCUUAUCUGCCGUGUCAAGUUCAGUCCAGUCCCAGACUGUUUCCAGUCAAAAAACAAAGUCUGCAACACAAAACGGACCUACACAUCAUCAGGCCUACCAGUUGUGAACUGCCAAAUUCAGUCUAUAACUUUUCCUUCAAAGUAGCAAAGUACAUUUCUUUGGUAAUUUUUAAUAACAUACAGAUUAUUUAAAAUGAAAUGUAUUACUUCCUUACACUUACAAUAUUAUGGCAGAGUAUUACAUCUGCAUUCUGCUGUUAAAAUCUUCAUUUGGACAAUAAAC